GUCAUACACUGAUGAUACCCCAGUUCUAUCCAAAAUCAGAAUUUGUGCUAUAGAAACAAAUACAUUGCACUGGAAGUGGUUUGUGUUUUGGAGAACCUAGUAGAGGCAGAAGCACCAACAGAGAGGAAGACGUGAUAUCGAAUGUCUCCAAUUUUACUGAAUGAUUGACAUGAAAAAUUAUUAAAACAACCAGAACAGAGGACACUUGCCUUUGGCAUCUGGAUAUUCUCUGGACAAGAAAGGAAGAAAAAGACAUUUAAAAGGCCACAUUUCUAAUUAUUUUCUAAUGUGAAACUGAGAAGUUACUGGAAGAGAGUACACAGCAUAUGGGAAAGUGAAAGAAAAAUUAAAGCUCCAAGCAUUUUGUCUGCUGCACGUGGCUUCUGAAUGUGUUCCCUCCUCUAUCUGCAAGUCUUCCUACCUUCUCCUUUCAAAUACUGAGUUAAGCUGCCUCAUGGAACGCUGCUUCUCUACCCAGUCCUCGCUGCAGUAAUGGACAUCUGUUGUCAUAUGCAUCUCAGCUCUCAUCUUUUGUGGAAGAAAGAAACUCACCUUUUUUUGUAUGUGCAACGAUGCACAUACAUUCAUGGAUAUCUUCUCCUGCAACUUCCUGUUGAAAAUGCCAACUUCUAUAAGACUGUAAUUUAUUUAUUUUUUUAAAUUAUUUUGCACGUUGUUCCCUGUAGAGCCAGCACAGUUGUUCUUAUUAGCUUUCUUUGUAUUGCAUGUGUAGAAAGUUUUAACACUUUAAUAUCUUUUCUCCCUUAGGUAUAGUAACAUAUACUCCCAAUUCAGCCUUGGAACCCAUUUAGACCACGAACAGCUAUCAUUCUCUAAGUCAAUCAACCAUCUUGCCUUUGAAUAAUUAGUCUGCUAACUCUGAAUGCUAAAAGCAAUCUUUGAUUUGAAUUAGUGUUAUUUCACGUGUAAUUCAGCAUUGUUUUGACUUCUUUUUCCUGAGGCUGGUCAUAUAAAGAUAUUUUCAAUGCCUUCAUUCAGUACAGGAAAACGUCUUUAGAAUUUUAAACAUGUUAAUAGUGCAUAAGAUUUCUCUGAAAUAUUAUUUUCCAUCCAGAAGCUAAAAAAAAGUUCUAAAACAGCUGUAACAACAUUUAGAGUUUUUUAGAGAUUUUUAACUGGCUUUACUGGUUAUUGCUUACAGUUGAUGUGGUUUAACCUUUAGUGCUUGCUGUCUAUUUCCAGAAGUUUAUAGUUUACAGGAUAACACUAGGUUAUCACUAUGAUUGAGGGCUAAUAUGUCUUAUCAGUCACAAUAUUGGAUUUAGGAUUUAGGAUUUACAUUCAAUGGUUUAGCAUUUUAUGGUUUGCUAAAGUAAAUUAUAAGUUCCUGAAAGAUUUGACACUUGAACUCCAAACCUUAAGUAGGAUUUGUAAUGUUCCAUCUAGGGUUCAUGUCUCUGUGGUCUGAUUCAAGAAGUAUUUUAGGUAGCUUCCUUACAUGCACUGAAACUUCUGAGGAGAUUGCUAAGCUAUGAAAGCAAGCUGUGAGGAAAUAUAUACUGUACAGCCAUGUGAGAUAGCAAAAGUGCAGAUGUGAGCCUGAAAUGGGACUAGGUAGUACCUGCAAAAUGACAACAUAAUUUGUAAUGUAAAAGAGAAACAACAAGAAUCUCAAUGCUGAAAAGAAUGUUGGAACUUAACCAUUGCCUCACUGUCUGUUCAGGGUCAAGACUGAAGUCACUUUUGACACACAACUUCCACUUAGCAUACUUAUAUACUCUUAACUCAGUUAGUGGAGACAUCCAUCUAGCACUUGGCCUGCACAGUGUUAGUGCCAAUACCCAUUAAAGAGAAAAAAAAAAAAAAGAAAAAAGAAAAGAAGGACAACAAUUUCUCUGCAUAAGAGAUACUGCUUUAGUCAACAGUACAGAGAUCAUGUAUAAAGCACCUGUUUCAGAAUCAAGUUACAGUCAGGUAUUUUUAGGCUAGUACUUAGGAAGUUAGGGUCUAGAUCACAAAGGAGAAAAGUAAUAACAAUUCAAGUGGGAGACAGGUAAAACAUUAUACCCUGAUACCUGCUUAAUACCUCAAAGCACCAGAACAACUAGCCUGGAAGCAUAGCCCUUUCCUGACUUCAGAAGCAUCCCUCAGUUACUGCUCCAUCACUGCUCUCACAGACUUCACACUCCUUUUGAACUGCCUCUUCCAUUACAUUAAUUUGCUUCCUUACCCUUCCCAUCAUCUUCCAAACUGUUCCAGACUGACAGCCAUCUAUUACUGUCUUGAGACACAGCCAUUGUUUUACCAUCCAUCCCGACUUCUCUAAGAUAUUCUUAAACCACACAAUACCUUCAAACAUUCUUCCCUUAGAAUUCCAGGUAAACCAUCACAGUCUGUCCCCUCAUCUUCAUGAUGGGGUGAGGUGGAUUCCAAGCUUACAAACACAUAGGCAAAGAUGCAUGCAGGGACAUGUUGUGUUCUGCUAUUGGGCUUUUGAGUGGACAUGUUGUCCCACUCACCCAUUCAGGACCAUUACAGUUUUCUCUUGACUCCUGCAAAACCCUUUAUUGUGUCCCUCAGUACUCCCCUGGUUCUAUAGCAUCUUUUCACCGCUGUUGUAUCCUGAGGACCUCUCCUGGAAUUUUACUGUAACAGGAUUACUCCACACCUAACUCAAGUGCUGCCAUGAUCGCUACUGCCUCCCCAUGCCCAAAAUGCAGAACUGCAGCACCCAGCUCUGCUCAUGCACAGUAGCAGUGCUGUACUCUCUGCACCAUGGCGGCAGUAAGAAAGCAUUUCAUUUCAGCAUAAAUGUUAGUGGCACCAGGUAAGUGUUGGGACCACCAGUGCAGCUAGCGAGACCUUUUGGCAGUGGUGGGCUCAGGGGUGUCUCCUGAAUGCCCCAGGAUGAUGUGAUGGAGACGCUUGGUGCCAGGGGACUGCGGGGCACAGCCUGCUGGGUGUGGGCAGGGGUUGUGGGGCAGGGGCAGCCACUGCUGUGGUCUUUCCUAUGGCCUUGUGCAGCCCUGGGUGGCCAUGCACACAGGGAGCCAGGAGCCCCAGAGCAGGGUGGGUGUACAGUGGCUUGUGGGCUGGGUCUGCCAGGCACACUUGCCUGGGAGAACUAUGAAAGGUUCCCUGUCAGUUGAAGUUGGGGCAGCCCCAGGGAAAGAGUGGAGAACUGGCAGAGGGGAGGAUGGUAAAAAGAUAUUAGUCUCAUCCCCCCCUCCCCCCCAAUUACAGAUGCUGGAUGCCUCCCCACCUCCUCAGAGCUUCCAUGGAGACUCCCCCAACACUGGUUGCCCUGCAUGGCUGUCUCUAGCUCCAGGACCAACCUUGAAGCAGGGCUAGCAGUGAGGGCUAAGUUAUACUCUUCUCUGCUGUGGAUGUCACCGACUCCAUCUGAUUUAGAUUUGCAGGAUUUUGCCUCACUGUUGUAGUGGCAUGGGUGAAAUGAGGAAGGUGGACUCAUCGCUCACUUUUGACAGAAACUGCUGUGGCUGAAGAUAAGACCAGCAACAAAUAAGACAGAUGAAGACUGAAAUGAAGUGGGUGUGGCUGGAAGCUGCCUCUACCUGCAGACAAGAAAGCUGUUGUCUGUGGGGGAAGAAGGAUCCCUCUUAGCUGUCCUUAGCAGACUGGGUCACCAGCAUCCAUGGCAUGAUCUGUGUAUGUCAUUAAAAGUGCUGUAUGGUUACAUACCGGGUAUGUGCGAGACACUAGUUAUUUAUGAAUUCUAAUGUUACCAGAGUUAUAAGAUGCCAGUGCAUUCUCUUAGGUGGAUGACAGACAAGCAAUGGGAUCUGCAAAGGAGGAAGCUGGCAGAGAGACCAAGCAAGAAGCUUCUUCAACAUCCACCAUCUCCCACUGUACCUAUCCAUCCAUGCCUCUGGCUCCCUACUCCCCUCUCUUUCCCUUUUUCUUCUUCUGUCACUGCUAUCUGCAUCUGUCUCAUCUUCCCCUGCAAAUCACUGUUCUGCUGCCUGCCCCAUUGUUCCUUGCUAUACCCACCUGUCUAGAUGGUGCUUCUCUUUUUCGCUCUUUACGCCUCUGUCCUGCUCCCUGGCCUUAUUUUUCCUUCCUCCAGCCCUGCUCCAUGGUAACAGAAAGCAACACAUCAGCAUGGGACAGAUGAGUGCUGAUCCAGUGCUGAUUUCUGAGGUUAAAUGGGGGAAAAUGGGUGCAUAGGGACCAUCAGCCAUGCAGCGGCCUCACUCCAGGCACUGAUGUGCAUGAAUAAACAGCUGCUUUAUUUAUUGCA